ensembl:lncRNA
CAACAGUAUUUCAUAAAGCAUUCGUAAACCACUAGGAUAAACAAGAGUAAAAGAGGGAAUCACCAGAAGUUUCCACCAAUAAGGUCACUGGGGACAUUUAUAUCUGAAUCUCAAAACCUGACUCCUAAAAGCAUGAAGAGUGAUGACAGCAAAAAAAACAGAAUUCGGAAGGCAGCAGGGCUUCCUAGGCAGGCAUGGCCCCAUCCUGGUGGACGGGAUCCCAGUUUCAGAAAAUCUGCCUUCUCCCAGUACAAGUGACCAAGUUAAGCUGGGAAAGUACACCCUGAAUCCUUCCUAUCACUUGAACUCCUGUGUGGCACUUAGAAGCAACUUGCUUGAUUCUGGAGAGCAGCAGAUUCUGUCUCUCCUAUGGACAUAUAUACACAUAUGCCUUUGUGACAUUGGAUUCCAAGUCCAGCACUGGACUCUCAAGAUGUGUUGGGCACCUAUCCUGAGCUGAUGCCCGAGUUAUCCUCCCUCCAAAUAAUACAUCUCUUCCUUCACCUCCUCUAAAGAAUAUGCGCUUAUACAAGUGGAUACUAAUAUCAUCACAUUUCACAAGAGAAUUAUUUACCAGUUUGAAGAUGGAAUGCCAAAACAUCAGAAAAAGAAAAGUAUAAACGACUCUUUGAUGGCAAGUGCCCACUGAGACUAUGUCCAAUAAAUAUAACAUCUACUUCAGGCACACUGUGCUGUUGAUCUCUAUAUUCCUCAAAACAACACACUGGGUACAGCAGCUCUGCUUUGUACAUGCAGGACCACCAGCACUCCUAGCUCAGGUAUGGUGCCAUCGGACUCACUACAGGGGAUGAGAGGGUCACUAUAUACAAGCCCAAUGAGUUUAAUCAGGACACCAGCCUGCAGAACUGCUCAUGCACAUGCUGUGCCCAGAAUUUCUAGACCCUUAUGAUAAUACUCUUUACAGAGAGUCCUUAAGGUUUUGACCACCUUUACAUGAUGACAUAGUCUGUUCUCACUGCAGUCCAAGGCACAGCUUGCAAGGCUUGCAAGAUCAGUACCUGCACCAGGCAUGUGGGAUGCAUGCUGCCAUCCUAACCUCACUAUGGCUUUGUAGAGCACGGAGCUGGCCAAGGUUCCUCUGUACUGGCAUGUGUAACCUGUAGACGAGAUAACUCAUGGAAAAGGGAGAGCUGACUGUUAGAGGAAUGCUAUCCUCUAGUUUAAGCAGUCUGCAUCUGCAUUGGAGUAGGAGGAAUCGAUUCCCAGACCCUAGAGUGUCCUUGUACCUCUCCUGUACAACUCUAAGAUCUCUCUUAUUAUUCCUAGUUAACAGUGAACCAGUGGUCAGCAGUUCUGCAGAUUUUUGAUAAUCACAUCACAUAGCGUGCAGCAGCACAACACAGAUCAGAUGAGCUUCACACAGAGAGUUUGCUGUGCUAGCUGAAAUUUUUGCUUGUUCACGUCAAAGUCAAAAGGAACAGUUCGAUAGUCAGUAUCUCAACAACAACAAAUCGCAGGAGUGUUUCUGCAGGGUCUUUGUAACUGCAUCAAAUUUGGCUGAAUAUAAAAGACUAUGGAACAGAAACAGGCUUCUAUAAGGAUCACAAGCUCUUCUAAAUUAGAUGUUGACCUUUCUGUUCCACAACUUCAGAGACUACUUUCCUUAAAGUAGCCUCAGAGGCUACACUUUCUAAAGAAAAUAAAUGUUGUUUUAGUUCUGCUGCUGGGAGCUGCACGCUGCUUAGGUAGUAACAGCUGCUCAGGUGACACAGAAUGAAGAACUAAAGUGCUCUCUUUGGUAAGAAGAAGUAGGUGAUACAUAAAAGUAUGCUUCUUGAUCAUGUCCUGCACAGAGAAUACAUGAGAGUUCAGUAAACUGAUUCUGGUUUAUUAAGAAAGCAAAUUGUUUUUAGGGACAAGUGCCUUAAGAACAUCCUCUUAUUCUGGUCCUGUGAUGGCUCAGAGGUGUGGAACACAGACCAGCUGGAGCCCUGUCCUGUUACCCUACUGCACCUGCACAGUCCCAGGCUGUUCUGGGAGUGCUGGUUGAUACAGGUACAGUCCUGAAGAUUUGACUUCUUUUGCAGUUCAGGCUGGAGCAGUUCAGGCAGCUCACAAGAACAGAGAGCACAUACAGGCUGACAUGUCACCAGCAGCUAUAAGCUUCCAGCCAGGGAAGACAAGAGCCCAAAUACAUCCAGAAGCAUACAAAGGAGGUCAGGCCCAGGAUGACAGACAUCAACAAUCAUGACACUUAGAGAGAGCAUUAGGUAGAAGCAGCUUGCAGACUGGAUAGGAUGCCUCCCACCCCCCUCAUCCUUAUCCCCACACACUGAGAUGAGUGACCAGGAGAUUAAGCUGUAAACCUAUAGACAUUCUCCAGCUUCCAAGGGGACUGAGAAGGUCAGUCACUCCCAAGAGCAGUGAGACCAGAAACAACAGUGGUGCACCUUUUAAGCCAGGUAACCAAUUCCUGCCCCCUAGAAAAGCUAUUGACAUAUAAGAAAUAAUAUUGUCCCUCACAAGCCAUGGUAACAGUUAAGUCCCCCACACCCCGUGGUUCACAUCUCUUGAUUGCCAACUUCUGUUAUUGAAUCCAUCUGUCACACCAUAAUAUUGAGCUGGAAACAGUGGCAAACAAACAAGGAACUUUUCCAGAGCUGUAACACAAGAUAUUCAGCAGUUCCAAUAAGAACCUCCUAACCCUCAUCUAAUUGACGUAUGUAACCAACAAAAAAAAAAAAUGACUCAAACCCAAAAUACGAACCACAAUUUGCUCGUUGGGUUGUUUUUAUUUUUUAAUCAAUUCAGCAUAAUUAUUUCCUCUUGAUUUGUGGGGUUUUUUUUCUACAUGGAAAGGCAGAGGCUUUAUGAGUGUGUGCCCAAGACGCCUUUUGAGUCAAGGCAAUAUAUUUGUCUCCAGUGUUGCUGAAAAGGAACCUGAAGUUUCCUUUAGAGCCUUUUCCUGAACAUCAGCCCACGGUCAUAAAAAUCUGGUCAGGUGUUCUGCUGUGCUCUCAGGUUUAUUUCUACUCUGCUCUGUGGAGCGAGAUGCCUUGUGCCAGCAGCAGUGACCUAGCUUGGAGCCAGGGCACAGCAGCUGCACAAGUGCAGUGCCACACUGACAUGUCCUCUGCUUUCAGCACACAGAUGAGUAUCUUUUAUGGCUUUGUUCUAUGCUAUGUAGAUGAAACUGCUUACUCAGUGCCUUAUGGCCAUACCAUUCCAAUUUUCCAGCAACUGCUCCCCAUUUUCUCUGUCUCAAAAUAUCAAGCAGAGAGAAGAAAUGCAUAGAUUUUCUGAAAUACCAUUUAAGGUUUUUGCUCUAGCUCCAUCCAUUGAGGAGAGCAGAUUUGGAACAAUGAGAUUCCAAAGAUUGCCUCUAUUCUAUGCAAGAAAUUCUCCUGUGAUCAGUUUGUUGCUAGCAUAUAAUUACUCUUCUUAGGUCGUUCUUUGUUGUUGUAGGUUUUGUUUUCUUUCCAAGAUGGCUUAAAGCUAAAAUUCCUCUUCUGUAGCUGGGAGAGGUUACAUAGACCACUCUUGUCAGGUCAACAUUCCAACAACUGUGGGAGUUCCGUACAUGCACCGCCAGUUGAGUUGGACCCACAGCUGCUGUGUCCAUGCUUCAGUUCUUGCUGCCUGCUGCCUGCUGCUUGGCAGCCAGCUGGAAAAGUGGAAUACUCAAGACCAAGCUCUAUUCCUGGUGCAACCCCUGCAGAUUUACAUAAAAUCUAGGUGGCACAUAG